GAGGCAGCGUGAGGAAGGCAAUGAAGCCACAGCUGAAGGAGCAGACUGAGCCACGAUCUCGUGUUCAGACCUACCAAGCGCAGCGUUGCCUCUAGAUGCAGCGUUCCUCUCUCCUGCAGCCAGUCCGUGGUGGCCCAGCCCAGCAAAUAUCUCGGAGUGGGACAGGGAGCUCCUUCUGGAAAGAUAUCAGCAGCCUUUUGAUUUUGAUCUUCCCAGUCAACCUUUCAAACACAGCCUCCUCAAAACAGCAUAGCAGACCUGCCACAGCCAGUAAUGUAUCAAAAGAUGUAAUUAAAGCAACAAAUCCAGCGUGCAGGCAUGCAGCACACUUCUACCCUCCCUGGCCAAGAGGAGGCUGCAGAGCGCAAGUAACACCUCAUCAGACGCAACAUCUCCCCUCCGUGAGGCUAUGGCACCAUCUGCGGGAUUAUCACAAGCCAAUUUGCAGGAAGUACAGUGACGAAACCUCUGAGGUUUGGGAGUAACAACUCCGGUUCCUGCCUCCUUUCUCUUUUUCUUUUCAUACCAUAUGUUGGGAAUGUAAUCCAGGAAGACAUUUGUGCUAUGAAUACUUCAACAUUUGGAUAGCUUGCAUCAGCAACCUCUGUUUUGUCUGGAUAAGUUUUCCCUGUGCUUGGGCAAUUUCCUCUUCAAAGCUUUUGGCAUGUUCGAUGUAAACGUCACUUUACCUGGGACUGGCAGGACACAAUUACUCUCAUUCGACACUUGGAGAGCACAGAGGGUGGUUGUACCUGCACUGCCCCAGCUUGGUCGGGCAGCCCUUUCUGACUGGGACAGGCACUCUGGCUGGUGCUGGCUGAAUGCAAAAGGACAGUGAAGUGUAAAUUUUAACUCAGAGAGUAGUUACAUUCUAGUGAAAUUUGUAAAGGUUCCAUCAGCAGCCAUUUGAAAUAUAUAUUUUUACUUUAUUGUUAGAGACACAGUCGCAUUCAGACAUGCAUUUGGGAACCCGGUUUGUCUGGGCCCGGCAGUGAAAGUUGGUGAUCUUUCUGCCUAUACUCUGGGACACCUAUCUUGCCUAACCUGCUUCUUUCUCGGGAACACAUGAAAACCUGAUGAUUUCCCAGCCCUGAGAAGAAAAAUCUUUUAUUUCAGUCAAGGAAAGUGAUUGUCCCCCUCUACUCUGUGCUGAUGUGGCCUCAACUCAAGUACUGUGUGCAGUUCUGGGCACCACAGUACGAUAAGGGUGUGAAACUAUUGGAGAGUGUCCAGAGAAGGGCUACAAAGAUGGUGAAGGGCCUAGAGGGGAAAACAUACGAGGAGUGGCUGAGGUCACUUGGCCUGUUCAGCCUGGAGAAGAGGAGGCUGAGGGGAGACCUCAUUGUGGCAUACAGCUUCCUCACGAGGGGGAGUGGAGGGGCAGGCGGCGAUCUAUUCUCUUUAGUCAACAGUGAUAGGACACGAGGGAAUGGAGUCAAGCUGACAGGGGAGGUUCAGGAUGGAUAUCAGGAAGAGGUUCUUCCC
rnacentral:lncRNA from 1 species